CGUUGGGGGGGAGCCCGCUCCGAGGGGGCUUGAGUUUCCCUCCCCGGCUGCAGCCGCCCCGGCUUCCCGGACCCGCCGCUCGCCUCCCGCGCGCCCGUUCCCCCUUCCCGGCUCCCCGCCGCCGCCGCUGUUGUUGUUCCCGUGCAAGUCUCCGGGCUCCUUCCCAGCCCGGGGAGCGGGGAGGCAACGUGGAAAAUCGCUCGGAGGAAGGAGCCGAAGGCGGGAGUGAUAAAUAUUGAAAGGGUGGGAUUUCGAUGUAGGCUGCAACAGCUGUGCUGGUUACAGUGUCACACUAUCUCUCCACAGGUUUACUGACCCAUUUCCAUUCACACGGCUGCCAGUAUCUUAGCAACUGCAACAGUCCCCCAAGAACAGGCAUAUUGCCUGCUAUUAGGGACUGCUGCAACUGUGUCAAGGUUAGCGCUCUCCCUCCAAGCCCUGCCGGGGUGGUUUUCACCGAGAGCCGGCGCGGGCUCUUCCCCGGCGCCCCCCGAAAGCCGCYGCCCCGAGGCCGGGGUGAUGGGCUGGGGUCCGGCGCGGGGACGCGCGGCUGGGGCUCUUCCCGGGUGUCUCUGGGGUCGGGUCCGGCGGUGCUGGGUUUAAGGGGGGUGUCAUCCCUCUGCCUGGCUCGGGCACUGCCGAGCGCGGAGCCCACCGCCUGCCCGGGCCGGGUCCCGCCGGUGCUGGAGGUUUGUACAGCACCGAGCGCCGCCAGGCCCCACCAUUGCCCAAAAAAGUCGCCAGCAACCCGCAGCUCGGGGGUUUUUCCGCCAUUUCCCACCCUGCGGGGUUUGGGGAUGGAGUCGUUGCCCGGCAGUGUCACGAGCGGGACCGGUCUCGGAGGGACCCCUGGGUGGCCGAGCCCCGAGCGCUGGGCUGGGCGCAGCAGGGCACCCGCACGGCACCGACCCCCCCUGCGGCGCGGGGAGGGGAAACUGAGGCACGGCCGCAUUUUAGGCCGGCCGGGGCAGCUGUGGGCAGGGCCAGCGGGCGAGGGGCAGGAUGCCGCCCCCGGGCCCCCCCCGCGCCGGCCGGUCCCCCCGGCAGCGCUGCAGACGGCAGGCUCCACGCGAGCACCGCCGCGGGGACGGCUGAGAGGGAAGCCACAAAAAUGAUUUAAGGGGCU
rnacentral:lncRNA from 1 species